ensembl:rRNA 5S_rRNA 5S ribosomal RNA
GUCUAUAGCCGUGCCACCCUGAACAAGCCAGAUCCCAUCUGAUCUCGGAACCUAAGCAGAGUUGGGCCUGGUUAGUACUUGGAUGGGAGACCACCUAGGAAGACCAGGUGCAGUAGGCG